rnacentral:rRNA from 1 species
UACGGAGGAUGCGAGCGUUAUCCGGAUUUAUUGGGUUUAAAGGGUGCGUAGGCGGCUUUUUAAGUCAGCGGUGAAAUUUUGCAGCUUAACUGUAACAGUGCCGUUGAUACUGUUUGGCUAGGAUUUGGUUGUAGUGUGCGGAAUGUGUGGUGUAGCGGUGAAAUGCUUAGAUAUCACACAGAACACCGAUUGCGAAGGCAGCACACUAAGUCAUUAUUGACGCUGAGGCACGAAAGUGUGGGGAUCAAACAGGAUUAGA